rnacentral:tRNA from 1 species
UUCCCACGCUAGGAAUUGAACCCAGGCCUCCUGGGUGAGAGCCAGGUAUCCUAGCCACAAGACCAAGUGGGA